rnacentral:rRNA from 1 species
AUUGAACGCUGGCGGCAGGCUUAACACAUGCAAGUCGAGCGGUAACAGAGAGUAGUUUACUAUUCUGCUGACGAGCGGCGGACGGGUGAGUAAUGCCUAGGAAUCUGCCUGGUAGUGGGGGAUAACUUGCCGAAAGGUAAGCUAAUACCGCAUACGUCCUACGGGAGAAAGGAGGGGACUCUUCGGAGCCUUUCGCUAUUAGAUGAGCCUAGGUCGGAUUAGUUAGUUGGUGAGGUAAUGGCUCACCAAGACCGCGAUCCGUAACUGGUCUGAGAGGAUGAUCAGUCACACUGGAACUGAGACACGGUCCAGACUCCUACGGGAGGCAGCAGUGGGGAAUAUUGGACAAUGGGGGAAACCCUGAUCCAGCCAUGCCGCGUGUGUGAAGAAGGUCUUAGGAUUGUAAAGCACUUUAAGUUGGGAGGAAGAGCAGUUAACUAAUAUUUGACUGUUUUGACGUUACCGACAGAAUAAGCACCGGCUAACUUCGUGCCAGCAG